rnacentral:rRNA from 1 species
AUGCGCUACGAGGCCAUGCUCCAACGCGACGCGGAGGCGCUCCGGCUCGAGGAGGAGGAGGAGGAGCGCGCGUGGCUUGCCGCAAUGCCGCCGCCCCAGCAGACGCUGGAGGAGGUUGCCCUGGCAGCGUACCAGGCGGCGUUCAGGUGGGUUGGCCCUGCUCCGGUCUUCAUCGACCUCACCGACGGCGGGGCGUCGACGACAAGGGCAAGAGCAAGGCCGACGACGUCUAGAGCAGCGUGCGGGGCGGCAGCAGGCGGUCGCAAACUUUUUUUAAUGUUCUAUUUAAUGUUUGUUAGAUUUAGGUGGACUUUGGCCGGCAUUUGA